GCACUACUGAGGAGUUCCAUAAUAGGGCGAAACAGCCUUCCAGUGC
rfam:Schistosoma mattheei strain Denwood, Zambia genome assembly, scaffold: SMTD_scaffold0017104